rnacentral:rRNA from 1 species
GACGAACGCUGGCGGCGUGCUUAACACAUGCAAGUCGAACGCUGAAGCCCUUUCGGGGGGUGGAUGAGUGGCGAACGGGUGAGUAACACGUGGGUAAUCUGCCCUGCACUCUGGGAUAAGCCUUGGAAACGGGGUCUAAUACCGGAUAGGACACAUCGCCGCAUGGUGUGUGUGUGGAAAGUUCCGGCGGUGCAGGUUGAGCCCGCGGCCUAUCAGCUUGUUGGUGGGGUGAUGGCCUACCAAGGCGACGACGGGUAGCCGGCCUGAGAGGGUAACCGGCCACAUUGGGACUGAGACACGGCCCAGACUCCUACGGGAGGCAGCAGUGGGGAAUCUUGCGCAAUGGGCGAAAGCCUGACGCAGCAACGCCGCGUGGGGGAUGACGGCCUUCGGGUUGUAAACCUCUUUCGACCGGGACGAAGGGUGACUGACGGUACCGGUAGAAGAAGCACCGGCUAACUACGUGCCAGCCGCCGCGGUAA